GAGACUGAAAAGAUUUGGCAUGGAUCCCCAGAUCCUCAGAAGGUUCUACAGCUGCACCAUCGAGAGCAUCCUGACCGGUUGCAUCACCGCCUGUUAUGGCAUCUGACCGUAAGGCGCUACAGAGGGUAGUGCGUACGGCCCAGUACAUCACCGGGGCCAAGCUUCCUGCCAUCCAGGACCUACAUAAUAGGCGGUGUCAGAGGAAAGCCCGUAAAAUCGUCAGACCCAAGUCAUAGACUAUUUUCUCUGCUACUGCACGGCAAGCGGUACCGGAGUGCCAAGUCUAGGACCAAAAGACUCCUUAACGGCUUCUACCCCCAAGCCAUAAGACUGCUGAACAAUUAAUCGAAUGGCCACUGGACUAUUUACAUAAAAUGUAUAAAAAAGCCUGGCUUAUCACUUCCUUACAUUGUUAAUGACAUGAAUAACAACUCUGCCAGAGUGCAGUGUAGAGAUGGAUGCAGUGAGACAGUGUUUCUGCUCAGUGGUCAUGACCAGUGGAUUCAUCUUUUCAAGGAGGUAAGCCUAUGUGCCUGUGUGUGUGUACAGUGAGUUUUGUCAUGUUUGGUGUGGGAGACGAGUAAACAUCUUUUCUCUCCAAUAGAACUCUUUCUUUCACCAAUUUGAAGAGCAGCCAGUGGAGACUCAUCCCUGAGCUGCCCAGCAAGUUAGUUUGUGUUCCCUCUGUCUGCUGUUGCCUCUCAGUUGUGUGUGUGUAUUCACUGUUCCCUCUUUCUGCAGUGUGUUGUGGCUGGAUGUGCUGAGUAUUCCCGGCGGUCGUCGUCUCUCGGCGAGCUGUCAGAACAGCUGCGUGGGCCUGACUCUGGUGGACCAGACUGUACCUGGGGGACGCAGUGCGCUGGUCACAGACCUGGACUUUGAUAGGGCUCACAACCGCAGACUACGUGUAACCACGCCAGCUCAGGAUCUCCCCGUCUAACUUCUUCACCUGCGGGAUCGUCUCAGACCAGCCACCCCGACAGCUGAUGAAAGUAUUUCAGCUCAUGAACGUAUUUCAGUCUGUAAUAAAUCCCUUUUGUGGGUAAAAACUAAUUCUUAUUGGCUAGGCCUGUUUCCCCAGUGGGUGGGCCUUUUUCCCAAGUGGCUUGGCCUAUGCCCUCCCAGAUCCAUCCAUGGCUGCGCCCUUGCCCACUUGUGUGGAAUCCAUAGAUUAGGGCCUAAUGAAUUUAUUU
rnacentral:lncRNA from 1 species